ACGUAAAUUAGUAAAUAAUGUAAUUUUACAUUAUAAUGAGAAUUAAAGUAUUAGUAAUUUAUUUUUGUUACUAAAAUUAAAUUCAGUUUGUUCCUGCAUAAAUCUUUUUAGUAGUAAACUGCUUUGGAAUGAUUUUUUUGGGGGACAACAGCAGGAUUAGGGCCAUCUUCUAGAUGCCAUCAGGUAGGUGCGCUAGCGUAGUGGUUUGUUGUAGCAUUAUAUCCCUUUUCCCCCUUUUUAAAAAAUGUUUGUAAGACGCCUGAAAUUUGUAUAAGUUAGUUAUAUAAGCAGUUGAAUAAGAGUUGGUGAGACUUGGAAAAUAGAAGAGGCCAGAGAAGAUGGAAGAGGAUUGCUUUGAAAUAGAAGGAAAGGAGAUAGAAGAUGUUUGAGGAAAGAAGAAGGAUUUUGUUGGCUGCAACGGAAGUUUUUUGAAGGAAAUUUGGAGCAACUGUAUUAAGAUGUUAUUGGUAUCUUGGACAUCAAGUUUUAUUUAUUUAUGUAUUAUACAAGCAUAUCUAUUGGUGUAAAUGUAGAAUGGCAGCUGUUAUAACAACUUGGAUGAAUUAUUAGAAACAUCAAAGAAGUUUUGACAUAAUUUAAACUGGGAAAAGGCUCACAAAUGGCCAAUUUAUUCUACAGUAGAUACAGGACAUUAAAUUGACUUCAACAACGCAGAUAUCUCAAAAAUGAUAUCUCUUUGAGUGAUGUACUGGGCGUUAACAGUUGCUGUUACAAAUCUGCAAAUGAGUUAGAACUGUACAUAAGUUUGAUGAAUGCCCGAGGAAUUUUUUGAAUAAAAUGAUACUGAAAAUCACCCAUAAAUGACAAUUUCAAGAUACAAUCAAUAGUACUUAGAUUGAUUGGCCUUCAUUACCAUUGCCCUAUGAAAAUGGCAAUACAAGUUGAUAUUAAUGGACGUUUUGACAGCUGUUUCCCGUCCAAGUUCCAGUUUUAAUGGAAAAUCUUUAAAGGACACAGAAAAAUGUAAUUUACUGGAUUGACUUCAACACCUGUUGCCUUUUAAUAAUGGUAUGAACUGCUGUUACUUAAUAGCUGUUAGAGCGGAUCCAGUUCUUUAUCAAUGGUAUAAGAUGGGACAAUUGCUAUAUUAAAAAUCCACAAGACGUACUGUCUGCAAAUAUUAUGGUGGACAUCAAAAAGCUUUAAAUGCAAUGAAACUUGCAGGAAAAGACUCAGAAAGACUAUUUAGGACUGUACUUAAUAGCUGUUAGUAUGGUCGCAGUCCUUCAUCACUGAUAUCUCCGCAUUUUCUUAACUGUGGAUAUCAACAGUUGCUCCUACUCCUUGCUUCCCUCUUUCACUCAACAUGAAGCAGACUCAAUACUCCUCAAUGUCUCACCAAGGUUCG